rnacentral:rRNA from 1 species
AGCAGCCGCGGUAAUUCCAGCUCCAAUAGCGUAUAUUAAAGUUGUUGCAGUUAAAAAGCUCGUAGUUGAAUUUCGGGAUCAAUUUAUCGGUCGUGCCAAUGGUAUGAACUGGUACAAUUGGUUUCUUCCUUCUGAUAAAGCGUGAUGCCAUUAACUUGGUGUCGCCGGGGAAUCAGAACUGUUACUUUGAAAAAUUAGAGUGUUUAAAGCAGGCUUAGGCUUGAAUACAUUAGCAUGGAAUAAUGAAAUAGGACGUUUGAUCCUAUUUUGUUGGUUUCUAGGAUCGACGUAAUGAUUAAUAGGGAUAGUUGGGGGCAUUAGUAUUCAAUUGUCAGAGGUGAAAUUCUUGGAUUUAUUGAAGACUAACUACUGCGAAAGCAUUUGCCAAGGACGUUUUCAUUAAUCAAGAACGAAAGUUAGGGGAUCGAAGACGAUCAGAUACCGUCGUAGUCUUAACCAUAAACUAUGCCGAACUAGGGAUCGGAUGAUGUUAAUUUUUUAAUGUACUCAUUCGG